rnacentral:rRNA from 1 species
UAGUCCACGCCCUAAACGAUGCUAACUCGAUAUUUGGAUCUUGAAUCUGAGUGUCUAAGCGAAAGCGAUAAGUUAGCCACCCGGGGAGUACGUUCGCAAGAAUGAAACUCAAAGGAAUUGACGGGGGCCCGCACAAGCGGUGGAGCAUGUGGUUUAAUUCGAUGAUACGCGAGGAACCUUACCAGGGCUUAAAUGCAUAUUGACAGGGCCAGAGAUGGCUUUUCCUUCGGGCAAUUUGCAAGGUGCUGCAUGGUUGUCGUCAGCUCGUGCCGUGAGGUGUCAGGUUAAGUCCUAUAACGAGCGCAACCCCUGCCGUUAGUUGCCAGCAUGUAAAGAUGGGGACUCUAACGGGACUGCCGGUGCAAACCGUGAGGAAGGUGGGGAUGACGUCAAAUCAUCACGGCCCUUACGUCCUGGGCCACACACGUGCUACAAUGGCCGGUACAGAGAGCAGCCAUGUCGUAAGGCAGCGCGAAUCUACAAAACCGGUCACAGUUCGGAUCGGGGU